rnacentral:misc_RNA from 1 species
UCCGGUUUGUCACCGGCGGUCCCCUUAGAGUUCCCAACUGAAUGCUGGCAACUAAGGGCAAGGGUUGCGCUCGUUGCGGGACUUAACCCAACAUCUCACGGCACGAGCUGACGACAGCCAUGCAGCAUCUGUGCACCGGCCCCGAAGGGCUGCCGUAUUUCUACGACAUUCCAGUGCAUGUCAAGCCUUGGUAAGGUUCUUCGCGUUGCGUCGAAUUAAACCACAUGCUCCGCUGCUUGUGCGGGCCCCCGUCAAUUCCUUUGAGUUUUAGCCUUGCGGCCGUACUCCCCAGGCGGGGAACUUAAUGCGUUAGCUACGGCACAGAAUCAACCAACGUGACCCCACACCUAGCGCCCACCGUUUACAGCAUGGACUAC